CCCAGGCAAAAGAAGAUGAACACCAGAGGAACAGAAACAGCUAGCACACAAGAAGAGGAGGAGGAACCAGAUCGGUGGGAUUCUGGCUAUUCCUUUCUUGGUUUGCCAUGUAUAACUGGUCUUCUGUCCCUUCCUUUAGUGGGGUGAAAGAAAGACAUGCAUCAUGAAGGAAGAGGGAAAUGAGCUGGGAUCCUCAGAGUUAGAAGAUGCAACUAUCUGCUUCCUCAGUUCAUCCUCACAACAACCCUGAGAAGAAGGUUAGGCUGAUAGAGAAUGGCUGGCCCAAGUCAACAGGCAACAUGAAGGCACACACUCCCAGGUUCCAUAAAACUCUCCUCCAGCAUAAAAUUUCCAGGGAGCUGAUUCUUCUGUCAUCUUUCUUCGCUGUCCAGCUUUUACAACCAUACAUAGAAAUUGGACUAUUGGGAUCUAAUUUCUUAGAACUUAGUUUUUCCACCAGCCAAGAAUCCAUGCCAGUUCACAUAUUUGGAUGUCAGGAUGUCCAAAUUGACAGUAACUAUCCUGAUGGGAAUCCACAGAGAGGAGAAAGUGCAUUGUAUUCAGUCCAAGGGUUCAAAGACAUGUAUUUCUAAAGGAAGGAGUAGGGGCAACCUCACCUUCAAAGCCUGAGGGGCUUCCGUUGGGUCCCAGGUUUGGUGGGAACAAGUAGUUUGCUUUAGUGCCGUGUCUACUAACCUUCCUUAGCUGCCUUGUGGUUCCCUUGUCACCUACCCUAAGGCAGGAUAUCAACCAAUGUUGAUAAGCAAUUAGAUACACAAUUAGGACAAAUCAGCCUGUGUAGGCAACUAGGCAUGCACUACAUCGCCUCUGACAAACAGAAACAUGAUCAAUGUCAUUCCCUUUACAAUAUACAGAGAAGCUGUGCCAAUGACCUGGCAUGCACUCACUCCAACAGAUGGGAUCCUGAUAGGUUUAAUUAAGACACAGCAUUGGUUUAGCAAGACUCCUCUCGCCUCUUCUAGCUCAGUGCCUUCCAUAUAGACACAGGACAAGUCCGGCAGCUGCUUCCAAGGACACGAAGGAAAGGCCACCAUCCUGCCCAGAGCUUGUGCAGAUGGGGAUCCAAGGAAAAGCCAAAUGCCUGGGAGACGGCCUGAACUGUGUUUUGCACUGGUUGCUAUUACAUAAGCUAUCAAUAAAGCCCAAACUCAGGAAGGAAAUGAGGGGUGGGGGAGGUCAGAGCUGUAAAUCAUAGGGGAAUGGUGCACGUGAUCCAUCUGGAGAAAGGUGGGAAGUUCAUCAGCUAACAGCCGGUGUGUGUAGGAGUCCCAUAGAAAACCUCAGCACAUUCCUUUCUUCCUCCUCACUUGCACUGAAUCUUCUCAGCAUCAACUGAAAACACCCCACCACCACCAAAUAUUAAGGCCAGUGGAUAAGAGGAACCUAGGCUGGAGAUGGAUUGUGGCUUCUUUGGAGACAGUGCUGUCUGGCUAUCCACUCUCACUGCCCCGCUAAUGAUUAAAUGAGCUUUUCAGGAUUUUAUAACAUUUCAAAAACUUUCACAACCUGUUUGAUUAGAAGGAACAGUGGGGUGACAACUCAAGGGACCCAUGUUGUUCUCAAACUGCUUUCAGUUCUCUUGACAGAGAUUAAGAAUACAAUAUAUGAGAUCAAGGGGAAACCUUUACCUUACUAUAGGUCCUCCAAGUGAUCUUAUAGUGUGCUAAUGCCAGAAGUUACCAUAGAGUCACAUCUGAGGACCUAACAAAUUCCAAGAAAGGAUACCUCUCUAAUAUAUUUCAAGCUCCCUCGGCACGAAUCUGUUGUUAAUUCUGGCAGAGUUCAUUCAUUUCAAUAAAGUUCAAUAUUAUCCAUGAUUUCCUGCUUCCACAGUAAAUUCAGGAACAUAUCCCCCCUCAUUGCUAGACCAAUAUGUAUUCUUACUAGGAAUGAAAAUAAUAUUUAAAAGUAUUUGGAGGAUGGUUAAAAAAACAUGAUUUCUAACCCCGAUGAGAAGAAUUCUGAGCUGAUGAGGAUCUUUUUAGUUCAAGACUUAUUCUGUGUAAUUUCUGAUUAUUGGGAUAUCAGCUGAAUCUAAAAAAACAGAACAUGAGAUAAAACCCCUUUUUGGACUACCUAUUGCAGAUCUCCCAGGUAGUAUGGUUGGGGUGAAAAAAUGCAACUCACCAAAAUGUUUUGUGGACCUUGGCACCUUUAGAAUUCCAAGGUCCUUUCCUGCCCUCAAAAGGAUGAAUUGCUUUCCUACAACCCAUUUAAAAUAGAUUGCAAGUCCUAUCUAUACUGUUCAGUAUCAGGAGCUACUAACCCCUUUGUAGUUCUGACCACUUUGGGG
rnacentral:lncRNA from 11 species